AGGUAGCUUAGUGUCUCUGCACAUUUACGCGCUUCACAGAAACCCCGCGGUAUGGAAAGAUCCAGAGGUGUUUGACCCCCUGAGAUUUUCACAAGAUAACUUGUCUGAUCAGCAUUCCUUCGCCUUUAUGCCCUUUGCUGCUAGACCACGGAACUGCAUCGGGCAGCAGUUUUCCAUGGUUGAGUUGAAAGUGGCUCUUGCCCUAACCCUCCUCCGCUUCGAACUCUCACCUGACCUGACUACGCCUCCUAAUGAAGUAACUGAGCUUAUCCUGCGCUCCAGGACUGGAAUACACUUGCAUUUAAAGAAACUUUCCUAAUAUCUUUGAUAUUUCAUGCUGAAAUGAUCUUUGCUAUUUUUUUCAGCAAAGCUUGCAAGUCACAAGACUUUCUUAGUAGAUUUGCUCAUCUUAAAUCUGAGGAACAGUAAGUUACUCUACUAGUGUGUGUGGGAGAAUGAACGGUGAGGCUGGGUGGAGACAUUCUUAUGGGGCCUGAUCCUCAGCCACUGUAAAGUGACAUAGCUUCAUUGACUUGGAGCUAUGCCAAUAUACACCAGCUGAGAAUUUGGUCAAUGAUGUUUAUAGAUAGGCCAUAUACA